UACCUGCAGUUCUAGUGGUGACCGCUAUUAUUUGGCCUAAAACGUCCGUAGCCGGUUUAUUAAAUGCCCGGGUAAAUUGUACGGCUUAACCGUACGAAUUCCGGGUAGACUGAUAAGCUUGGGACCGGGAGAAGCUAGAGGUACUCUUGGGGUAGAGGUGAAAUUCUGUAAUCCCAGGGGGACCACCAGUGGCGAAGGCGUCUAGCUAGAACGGGUCUGACGGUGAGGGACGAAGCCCUGGGGAGCAAACGGGAUUAGAUACCCCGGUAGUCUAGGGUGUAAACGCUGCUUGCUUGAUGUUAGUCGGGCUCCGAGCCCGAUUAGUGUCGGAGAGAAGUUGUUAAGCAAGCUGCCUGGGAAGUACGGCCGCAAGACCGAAACUUAAAGGAAUUGGCGGGGGAGCACUGCAACGGGUGGAGCGUGCGGUUU
rnacentral:rRNA from 1 species